ensembl:lncRNA novel trancript
CCACCUGCCUGCGGGGUGCGGGGGAGCUCGGUUUCAGCAAACUCUGCAGCAGAGGAAAAUCAGAUCCACCUGCCUGCGGGGUGCGGGGGAGCUCGCUUUCAGCAAACUCUGCAGCAGAGGAAAAUCAGAUCCACCUGCCUGCGGGGUGCGGGGGAGCUCGCUUUCAGCAAACUCUGCAGCAGAGGAAAAUCAGAUCCACCUGCCUGCGGGGUGCGGUGGAGCUCUGUUUUAUGCCUUGAAAUGCAUUUGCGGCAUCCCGUUGUAAAACUGCCCGUGAACGCAGCGUCAGGCGCUCGUUUAAACAGGAAGAGAGACUGCUAGCAAUUUGCAAGUUUACGUGAAAAGCUUUGUGAUUUUCCAACACCCUGAGUAGUUCUAGCCAAAAUGCGUGAUUGGCCUCACACUAGACGCUUGCUGUAAUUGUGUCUCUGUAUUAAAUUGACCGUCCUUUGGAGCUUCAGAAUGGACCAGGAGGAAAAGGUAAAUACCAAGCUCGCUACAACCUCAGAGGCAUCAACGCCCUCCUGCUACAGACGCAUCUGUUCUCACCUGGCUCCUGCCAGCUGCCCUGGGAGAGGCCACAAAAUGCCCUCCAUGGACAGAAGACCUGAGAACCUUCGGGGCUCCUGCUGUCACUCACUGUGUUGAAGAACCGCCCGGUCAGCACGCUGGGCCCUAUACACAUACACACACGGCUCUGCGGAGGACGAGGAAGGGCCGUCAGAUGAGACUUCACCGUGAAAAAUGUGCAGAGACACAACAAUCUCGCUGAAUGAAAACUACAGACUCUAAUUUAUAAAAACUGUCUGUUUCAAAAGCCCCAAAUGUUUACAUUCUCCGAUUCAUCAUUCCUUCUUCUAAUUUAUUUUAGGAAAUAAUGCAAAGUACUCACAAAAAAAAUUUAUACAGAAAGAUGUUCAUUGCAGAAUUCAUUAUAAUAAAGAAAACCUGAGUA